GUUCCCCUUCCGGUUCCCCGCCGGAAGUGCUGCGCGGCCCUUCCGCUCCCGGCUCCCCCCUGGUUCCCCCCGCCCUGCGUUCCCUCGCGGCGGUCGCGGGGCGGUGCCGCCAUCUGCGGGGCAGUGACACGGGUGUACUCCUGACGUGGCCGGCAGGCUGCCGGCGGAGCGUGAGUUCUCGCUUCAAACGCAGGUUUCUUGUUAUUUUCGAACGUGAAUUGAAGGACGCAGAUCCGUGCUUUGGCGAUGUUUGCACUUUGAAACUAGGAACGUGCCUCCUAAACGAUAACUGAUGGAUAAAGGGAGGAGCGCGUCGCGCUGAGGACACCCCCGAGAUUUGCCGGGCUGCUUUGGGUGAAUGGCAGUGAAUAGGUGGGGUCUGCGCUGAGCCGAGCUGGGCUGGUUUCUCUGGGCGCUGGCAGGCGUGGGGCACGAGGUGCCCUCCACAGUCAUUUCUGACUAUGGAUUUUGUAACUGUAAGCUUGUAAUUAAAGAAACUGUUUAUAUCUAAGUGUGUCUGCCGGAAUGAGCUGCGCUUCUCAAUCUGUAAUUAGGCACACAAAUAAAUUUGACUUAAUUUUAA